rnacentral:rRNA from 1 species
ACGGGUGAGUAACGCGUGGGAACGUGCCCUUCGGUUCGGAAUAACUCAGGGAAACUUGAGCUAAUACCGGAUACGCCCUUAUGGGGAAUGGUUUACUGCCGAAGGAUCGGCCCGCGUCUGAUUAGCUAGUUGGUGAGGUUAUGGCUCACCAAGGCGACGAUCAGUAGCUGGUCUGAGAGGAUGAUCAGCCACACUGGGACUGAGACACGGCCCAGACUCCUACGGGAGGCAGCAGUGGGGAAUAUUGGACAAUGGGGGCAACCCUGAUCCAGCCAUGCCGCGUGAGUGAUGACGGCCUUAGGGUUGUAAAGCUCUUUUCUCCGGGACGAUAAUGACGGUACCGGAGGAAUAAGCCCCGGCUAACUUCGUGCCAGCAGCCGCGGUAAUACGAAGGGGGCUAGCGUUGCUCGGAAUCACUGGGCGUAAAGGGCGCGUAGGCGGCUGAUUUAGUCGAGGGUGAAAGCCCGUGGCUCAACCACGGAAUGGCCUUCGAUACUGAUUGGCUUGAGACCGGAAGAGGACAGCGGAACUGCGAGUGUAGAGGUG